GGGGUUAUAGUUUAAUGGUAAAACAAUUGUGUUGCAUGCAGUAAAUAUGAGUUCGAUUCUCAUUAACUCCA
rfam:Cyberlindnera fabianii strain 65 BON22_Sc21, whole genome shotgun sequence.